rnacentral:RNase_P_RNA from 1 species
UCAGGCGGCUGGACGGCUGCUCUUCAUCGGGUAACCGGUGAAGGGAGGAAAGUCCGGGCUCCAUGAAAGCACGGUGCCGGGUAACGCCCGGCGGGGGUAACCCCAGGGAAAGCGCCACAGAAAGUAUACCGCCCGGACAUGUUCGCAUUAUGGGUAAGGGUGAAAGGGUGCGGUAAGAGCGCACCGCGAUCCUGGCAACAGGAACGGCAUGGCAAGCCCCACCGGGAGCAAAACCAAAUAGGGGUGGCUUAUGGUCGGUUUUCAGACUGUCACCCGGGUCGGUUGCGCGAGGCGUUCAGCGAUGAACGUCCCAGAUGAAUGGUCGUCGAACCUGCAUUGCAGGGGAACAGAACCCGGCUUACAGGCCGCCUGACACU